rnacentral:rRNA from 1 species
AAUGCGAUAAGUAAUGUGAAUUGCAGAAUUCAGUGAAUCAUCGAAUCUUUGAACGCACCUUGCGCCCUUUGGCUAUUCCGAAGGGCAUGCCUGUUUGAGUAUCAU